UGUUGCAAUCAUCCAACGUUCGGUGAUGCUCCGGUCCAGCAUUCAAAACAACAGCUAUUCCAAUAGGUAUUGCAGCCCUAUGUCUAUAAUUUAUUUGGUUUGAUGCGUUGCAUACUCGACCUUUUUGAUCUCCUAGAACUACUUUUCCAUUAAUGAAAUAGGUAAGAACAUACUUACCUGCUUCCGGCAGGAUGGCGUUGAUCGAUAUUGGUAGCAGAGUGUUGAUCGAUUCAUCUGUCGACCCGUCACUCGAUGUUGUUGUCUGAGUGUCGAUCGAUGCUAGGCCGAAUUCCGUGUUCUUCAUCUUAAGUACCUGUCAGCAGGGAAAGAUGAAAAACUUUUUAGCAAAUACAAUAAUAAAAUCUAGACUAUAUCCUAAACUUAAUCUAAUGGUAAAAGAAAGAGUCCCCGGAAACGGCGCCAAAUUUGAUAUCAAUCAAAUUACCCUAAGGAGUGAAUUACUCUCUCAAAUAAGAGGUUCAGAUGUAGUACUUAGGUAUCGAAUCCACGGAGACUCUAGGAUUACACAGUAGAUUUACAGUCUUCGAAAUAAAGCUAGGUUAACAGGUUUUAAGCAGUAAAUGAAGUGGUGAACAAGGUAGUUGUUCGAUUUGUUUGAUUUGAGGUUGUUAACAGUUGGGAAAAUAGCUAGAUUCAGGUAUUAUCUCAGUAUGAUAAGUAGGUAACUUCUUUGGGUUAUUAGCG
rnacentral:lncRNA from 1 species